GGCUCCUCCUACCUGUGCAGCGACUUGGAUACCGCGUCACAAAGAACAUGCAAACAUGAGGAAAGUGAGAGCCCAGAACGCCUAGAAUUUACCUCAGUCCCUGGCUGAGGGACAGGAAGCUUUGAAGUGACAGAUGAAGCUAGGGACCCAGAUCCUGGGAUAGGGCAGGCCCAGCAAGGGCCUGAGGGACCCACUGUCUUCCGUCUGGCCAACAAAUUUAGGACAAGCCUCCCUCCCCAUGCUGCAGUGGAGGAAACGGAAGCUUUAGGAAGAGAAGUGCCUUCUACAAGCUCCACGGCUGGAAAAUGGGCAAAGUCAGGACUCAAACCCUGGUGACUCCAGGGCCCCAGGCCUGGGAAAAAGGUGAGAAGUCAGGUGUCAGGUGUUACCCUUGGGAGCAGAUGCUGGUUAUUGAUCUGAGUUGGAGGCCCUGGGUAAAAUUCUGAGAAGGAGAGCGGCGUUGAGCUUGAGUGAGGCUGACUGGGGAGAGAGCUGUUGAUGGUGAAAUGGGAAGGGGGCAUAGUGUAAUGGUUAAGGGUGGGACUUAGGAGCCCAACAGUUUGGUUCAGAUCAGCUCUGCCAUUUACUAGUUGCGUG
rnacentral:lncRNA from 10 species